rnacentral:rRNA from 1 species
AUUGAACGCUGGCGGCAGGCUUAACACAUGCAAGUCGAGCGGGGUGAUGGUGCUUGCACUAUCACUUAGCGGCGGACGGGUGAGUAAUGCUUAGGAAUCUGCCUAUUAGUGGGGGACAACAUCUCGAAAGGGAUGCUAAUACCGCAUACGUCCUACGGGAGAAAGCAGGGGAUCACUUGUGACCUUGCGCUAAUAGAUGAGCCUAAGUCGGAUUAGCUAGUUGGUGGGGUAAAGGCCUACCAAGGCGACGAUCUGUAGCGGGUCUGAGAGGAUGAGCGGCCACACUGGGAAUGAGGCACGGCCCAGACUCCAACGGGAGGCAGCAGUGGGGAAUAUUGGACAAUGGGGGGAACCCUGAUCCAGCCAUGCCGCGUGUGUGAAGAAGGCCUUAUGGUUGUAAAGCACUGUAAGCGGGGAGGAGGCUCUUUUGGUUAAUACCCAAGAUGAGUGGACGUUACUCGCAGAAUGAGCACUGGCUAACUCUGUGCCAGCCGCCGCCGUAA